rnacentral:rRNA from 1 species
GACGGAGGAUGCAAGCGUUAUCCGGAAUCACUGGGCGUAAAGCGUCUGUAGGUGGUCAAAUAAGUCAACUGUUAAAUCUUGAGGCUUAACCUCAAAAUCGCAGUCGAAACUAUUAGACUAGAGUAUAGUAGGGGUAAAGGGAAUUUCCAGUGGAGCGGUGAAAUGCGUAGAUAUGCGGAGGAACACCGAUGGCGAAGGCAAUCCCCUGGGCCGGCACUGACGCUCAUGCACGAAAGCGUGGGGAGCAAACGGG